CUGGCGGCGUGCUUACACAUGCAAGUCGAGUGCGCGCCUGUAGCAAUACAGGUGGCGCACGGCGCACGGGUGCGUAACACGUGGGCAACCUGCCCUUUGAUGGGGAAUAACCCCGCGAAAGCGGGGCUAAUACCGCAUAAGAUCCGCAAGGAUGAAAGCCGAAAGGCGUCGAAGGAGGGGCCUGCGCCCGAUUAGCUAGUUGGUAGGGUAACGGCCUACCAAGGCGAUGAUCGGUAGCUGGUCUGAGAGGAUGGCCAGCCACACUGGAACUGAGACACGGUCCAGACUCCUACGGGAGGCAGCAGUGGGGAAUCUUGCACAAUGGGCGAAAGCCUGAUGCAGCGACGCCGCGUGGGGGAUGAAGCAUCUCGGUGUGUAAACCCCUUUCGACCCGGACGAAUACCUCGCAAGAGGGGUGACGGUACGGGUAUAAGAAGCCCCGGCUAACUACGUGCCAGCAGCCGCGGUAAGACGUAGGGGGCCAGCGUUGUUCGGAAUUACUGGGUGUAAAGGGUUCGUAGGCGGUGCGGCAAGUUGGGAGUGAAAUCUCUGGGCUCAACCCAGAGGCUGCUUCCAAAACUGCUGUGCU
rnacentral:rRNA from 1 species